rnacentral:tRNA from 1 species
AGCGCGGAGCGCGUAUGCCUUGUAAGCGUUAGGUCGCGGGUUCGAUUCCCGC